UACGAAGGGGGCUAGCGUUGUUCGGAAUUACUGGGCGUAAAGCGCAUGUAGGCGGAUCGUUAAGUCGGGGGUGAAAUCCCGAGGCUCAACCUCGGAACUGCCUUCGAUACUGGCGAUCUUCGAGUCCGGGAGAGGUGAGUGGAACUCCGAGUGUAGAGGUGAAAUGCGUAGAUAUCUGGAGGAACACCGGUGGCGAAGGCGACAUCCUGGACCAACACUGACGCUGAGGAGCGAAAGCCAGGGGAGCAAACGGG
rnacentral:rRNA from 1 species